CCUGCUCCUACAGGCGUUGAAGGUGUGGCUGCUGUGUCACAUGCACACCAGUAGGUGACAGAGAAGAAAGUGGCUAUGUCUCUCUUCAGUGUUCUGACCUAUGGACAUCUGAGUGAUUAGCAGCCUAACAUU